CGCCGCGGCAUGCCUUACACAUGCAAGUCAACGGCAGCACGGGAGCAAUCCUGGUGGCGAGUGGCGAACGGGUGAGUAAUAUAUCGGAACGUGCCCAGUCGUGGGGGAUAACGUAGCGAAAGCUACGCUAAUACCGCAUACGAUCUAUGGAUGAAANCGGGGGAUCGCAAGACCUCGCGCGAUUGGAGCGGCCGAUAUCAGAUUAGGUAGUUGGUGAGGUAAAGGCUCACCAAGCCGACGAUCUGUAGCUGGUCUGAGAGGACGACCAGCCACACUGGGACUGAGACACGGCCCAGACUCCUACGGGAGGCAGCAGUGGGAAUUUUGGACAAUGGGCGCAAGCCUGAUCCAGCAAUGCCGCGUGCAGGAUGAAGGCCUUCGGGUUGUAAACUGCUUUUGUACGGAACGAAACGGUGAGCUCUAAUACAGUUUGCUAAUGACGGUACCGUAAGAAUAAGCACCGGCUAACUACGUG
rnacentral:rRNA from 1 species